CUACGGGAGGCAGCAGUGAGGAAUAUUGGUCAAUGGGCGCAAGCCUGAACCAGCCAUCCCGCGUGCAGGAAGACGGCGCUAUGCGUUGUAAACUGCUUUUCCAGGGGGAGAAACUUGCGCACGUGUUGCGCAAUUGACGGUACCCUGGGAAUAAGCAUCGGCUAACUCCGUGCCAGCAGCCGCGGUAAUA
rnacentral:rRNA from 1 species